rnacentral:rRNA from 1 species
UACGAAGGGGGCUAGCGUUGUUCGGAAUCACUGGGCGUAAAGCGCACGUAGGCGGAUCUUUAAGUCAGGGGUGAAAUCCCGAGGCUCAACCUCGGAACUGCCUUUGAUACUGGGGAUCUCGAGUCCGGGAGAGGUGAGUGGAACUGCGAGUGUAGAGGUGAAAUGCGUAGAUAUUGCUCGGAAGGCCGGAGCCGAAGGGGCCCCACUGGUACGCAACUGACGCUGAGGCACGAAAGCGUGGGGAGCAAACAGG